rnacentral:rRNA from 1 species
AUGGCACGCAUAAACUUUGGAGUUAUUACCCUGAUCCCCAAAAUAGUUGGGGCGACGGAUGUUAGGCAAUUUCGGCCUAUCACGGUUAUCAAUGUUCUCGAGCACAUUUUCUCCAACGUAUGUGCGACCCAUCUAGCCCCGGUGGCUGAGCGACUGGACCACCCCCUCCAGACGGCAUUCUUGGAGGGCCGACGGAUUCAUGACGAGAUCCUGGCUCUCCAUGAGAUUGUCCAUGAGGUGAGGACGCGCGGGCAUAAUUGCGUCUUUCUCGAGCUGGAUUUCCAGAAAGCCUAUGAUAGGCUGGACUGGAACUUCUUGCGGCUAGUCCUACAGCAUCGGGGCUUUGAGGACAGAUGGUGCAACUGGAUUAUGUAGUUGGUAUGGUCUGGAAAGAAGGCGAUUAAUAUUAAUGGCGAGGUGGGACCAUUCUUUACGUCCUUGGCAGGAGUGAAGCAAGGGGACCCGAUCUCCCCUCUUCUAUUCAACCUCGCCGUUGAUGUGCUAGCAGGAAUCCUGGAUAAAGCUAAGAUGGCGGAACACCUAUCGAGGGUAGUUGGCCACCUAAUCCCGGGAGAAGGCAUCACCCACCUCCAAUAUGCCGAUGAUACCAUGUUCAUGGUGGAGGGAUCAGACCUGGACAUUGUGAAUCUUAAGUUCCUACUCCUCUGCUUUGAGGCUAUGUCAGUACUAAAGAUCAACUUCGACAAGAGCGAGGUCAUCAUCCUAGGAUUCCCCGCGGAGGAACAACAAUGGAUUGCGGACAACGUAAACUGCAGAUUAGCUUCAUUCCCCACUACAUACUUGGGAAUGCCGAUGACCGACUCGAAGAUUCUGAUGAGUGCAUUUGACCCACUGGUGGGACGUGUGGCAUCUUAG